rnacentral:tRNA from 1 species
GGAGAGAUUUGUUAUUAUUCAGUUCAUUAUAUGUUCUGAUUGUCCGUUUCGACGGACCGGGGUGCUUACUUUUUCUAUUUUCUUCAAUAAUACUUAUACAGUGCGACGCAGAGUCCCGUAGCUCAGCUGGUUAGAGCGCUACACUGAUAAUGUAGAGGUCCGCGGUUCAAGUCCGCGCGGGACUACAUUAUUAGAUAUAGAUAAUAGUCCAUCAGUAUCUGGGGGAUUAGCUCAGCUGGCCAGAGCACCUGCCUUGCACGCAGGGGGUCAUCGGUUCGACUCCGAUAUCCUCCACAAGUAUGAAUUGGGAUUAAUAUCCUACGUAAUAGAUGUCAAAUUCGAAAAGCGUAAGUGUUUAAUUCAAAAUUCGCAACGUUCUUUGACAUGUUAAGAGAAUAUUCCAAUGUUUAUUAAUAAUAAGCAAUUUUACCAAUUAUCGUUGAU